rnacentral:rRNA from 1 species
UACGAAGGGGGCUAGCGUUGUUCGGAUUUACUGGGCGUAAAGCGCACGUAGGCGGAUUCUUAAGUCGGGGGUGAAAUCCUGGAGCUCAACUCCAGAACUGCCUUCGAUACUGGCGAUCUUGAGUCCGGAAGAGGUGAGUGGAACUCCUAGUGUAGAGGUGGAAUUCGUAGAUAUUAGGAAGAACACCAGUGGCGAAGGCGGCUCACUGGUCCGGUACUGACGCUGAGGUGCGAAAGCGUGGGGAGCAAACAGG